UGAGUAACCUGCCCUUAACUCUGGGAUAAGCCUGGGAAACUGGGUCUAAUACCGGAUAUGACUCCUCAUCGCAUGGUGGGGGGUGGAAAGCUUUUUUGUGGUUUUGGAUGGACUCGCGGCCUAUCAGCUUGUUGGUGAGGUAAUGGCUCACCGAAGGCGA
rnacentral:rRNA from 1 species